AUGUGCUGUCCCCAAAUACAUUAUUAUGGCAUUUUUCUAAUAUUUAAGAUGAGGAACUAACACUAAAAUCCUAUCCAAUUUUUAUGACAUGUUUUUAUGUUGGUUUAUCUAAACCAUGAUCCACUGGGGUUGAUGUGGCUGCUGUUGGUUACUUGGGAAUACAGUCUGUUGGUAACCAGUGUGUUCUCUCCAGAGUUCUGUUGUUUCUGGUAUGUCUAUUAUAGUAACAGACCGAAGUCUGAGGGUUCCAUUCAGAUAAAUUCUCAGGAUUUGUGUGUGGUUUUGUUUUGUUUUAAUUCUUAAGUGUUUUGAGUUUAUCUGAAUGACUAUCAAAAUACAUACAUUUUACCAAAGGCUGAAGAUCCCCUGCAGUAGACUGCAGUUGAAAGAUCUCUUCUUAGAUAGAAUAAGAUAAAGUUUCCUAAAUUAGUGAUUCUCAAACUGGGAUACUUGUGCAUAUUCUUACUGUUGAGAAUUUGUUCUUUAAAGGGUAGAUAUUCAAAUUUGAGAAACAUUGUGUAACACAUUGGUUUUUCUUUCUUAAUUCACUAGGUUUGCUAUAAUUUGUUAAGGAAUUUGACUUCUGACUAUUAUUUCUGGUCAGGUUUAAUAACAGAAGCAGCUUUUGUUUGUGGAAUCAAACUUCAGUGACUCUACUGGUCUGCAGCUGUUCUUAUGUAGCAGUUGUGGCAUACCUCUGUGGGAGAGAAACUGUUCCAUGAUUAAACACCUCUUUCUUAGCAAAAUUGAAGUGGGCAUAUGUGUGACAAACAGAAGAUGAAAAAAACCCUACAUUUUUGUUUCCAUUCAUGGGAAUGAUUGGGAGGAGUCCAUGAUAUGUAUAUAUAAUUUUACAUAAAUUUUAUCCACACUUUUCAAGUAUUCAUUACAUAAAUAUCAUAUGUGUAAAAGUACUCGGGAUGAAAGUUUAAUAGUAAUUCAUAUAUAUAUAAAACAUAUGAAUGAGAAAUCCCUUGAUCAUUUUAUAUGAGAUGUGUUAUUAAAGAAAAUUAAAGAGGAAAUAAUUUAUCUUGGGUCUUCAGUGCUAGAAAUACAAUGAAAUUUAUAGAACUGUAAAGACCUAUUUUCAGGCAGUUAAUGCCAGAAUUGGUGAAUAUGUAGUAGAGCAGUAUUCCUAUUCAGAAGCCUAAAUACUUAAAUACUUACAUAUCACAGUCACCCAUAUGAAGUCUCUAAAUUGGGAGGUGGGCAGCAGAAAGCAGGGAGCCUGAAAAGAAAGUUUACAUACCUUACUGGAGCAGGGUGCAUUAAUGAAAAAAGCACAGGCUUUAGAAAUGCACUUUGAGAACAACAGCACUGAUCAUAUAUGACUCUUUAAAUUCGAAUUAACUAAAAUUAACUGAAAUUAGAAAUUUAGUUCCUCAGUUACACUAGCCACAUCUCAAGUGCUCAGUAGCCACAUAUGGCAUUUCUGUCAUUCAGAAAGUUCUGUUGGACAGAACUGUUUUAGAAUAAAAAGUGUGAGUUUGAAUCUUACAUACAUUACCUAUAUAGAUACUAAUUACAGUGAUAUUAAUAGCUAUUUUGUAUUAAGAGCUUACUGUGUGUCCUCUUAACUCUCAUAACGAUACUUGAGAUUACGGGUAUUAUCGGUCCCAUUUUAUAAGUGAACAGACUGAAACUUAGAGAAAUUAAGUAACUCUCAAAAGAGUCAAAGUGGCUUUAGUUUUCUUGCCUGUGCAAGGCAAAUAAGAUCCACACCCCAGACUGUGAUACCGCAAGUGCCUGGCAGAGUACCUGACUAAUAGUAGGUAUUUGAGAAUUCAUUUUCUUUCUUUGAAUAAGAAUUACAGUGAGGGGCACCUGGCUGGCUCAGUAGGUAGAGUGUGCAACUCUCGAUCUUGUGGUUGUGAGUUCAAGCCUCACUUUGGACAUAGAGCUUACUUGAAAAGAAAAAAAAAAAAACAAAAAAAGAAUUA